rnacentral:rRNA from 1 species
AGAGUUUGAUCCUGGCUCAGGAUGAACGCUGGCGGUCUGCUUAACACAUGCAAGUCGAACGGGCUCUUCGGAGCUAGUGGCGGACGGGUGAGUAACGCGUGAGAAUCUGCCUUCAGGAGGGGGAUAACGACUGGAAACGGUCGCUAAUACCCCAUAUGCCUCCGGGUGAAAAGUAAUUCGCCUGAAGAUGAGCUCGCGUCAGAUUAGCUAGUUGGUGGGGUAAGAGCCUACCAAGGCGACGAUCUGUAGCUGGUCAGAGAGGAUGAUCAGCCACACUGGGACUGAGACACGGCCCAGACUCCUACGGGAGGCAGCAGUGGGGAAUUUUCCGCAAUGGGCGCAAGCCUGACGGAGCAAGACCGCGUGGGGGAUGACGGCCUAAUGGUUGUAAACCCCUUUUCUCUGGGAAGAAGACUGACGGUACCAGAGGAAUCAGCCUCGGCUAACUCCGUGCCAGCAGCCGCGGUAAUACGGAGGAGGCAAGCGUUAUCCGGAAUUAUUGGGCGUAAAGCGUCCGUAGGUGGUUAUUCAAGUCUGCUGUCAAAGCGUGGGGGCUUAACUCCAUA